GGUCUAUUAGUGUAGUGGUUAUCACUCCAGAUUUUGACAAGUCUCGUUCAUCAGGACGGACAUUCCAGAAUUCUGGUAACCCCAGUUCGAAUCUGGGAUAGACCU